CUUCCGUAGGUGAACCUGCGGAAGGAUCAUUAUUGAAU
rnacentral:rRNA from 1 species